GGGUGUUUAGCUCAGUUGGUAGAGCAGACGUCUUAUACACGUCCGGUCCCAGGUUCGAGCCCUGGAACACCCACCA
rnacentral:tRNA from 7 species